UACAGAGGUCUCAAGCGUUGUUCGGAUUCAUUGGGCGUAGAGGGUGCGUAGGCGGCGCGGUAAGUCGGGUGUGAAAUCUCGGGGCUUAACUCCGAAACUGCAUUCGAUACUGCCGUGCUUGAGGACUGGAGAGGAGACUGGAAUUUACGGUGUAGCGGUGAAAUGCGUAGAUAUCGUAAGGAAGACCAGUGGCGAAGGCGGGUCUCUGGACAGUUCCUGACGCUGAGGCACGAAGGCCAGGGGAGCAAACGGG
rnacentral:rRNA from 1 species